rnacentral:rRNA from 1 species
AUGCAAGUCGAACGAAACUUUCUUACACCGAAUGCUUGCAUUCACCGUAAGAAGUUGAGUGGCGGACGGGUGAGUAACACGUGGGUAACCUGCCUAAAAGAAGGGGAUAACACUUGGAAACAGGUGCUAAUACCGUAUAUCUCUAAGGAUCGCAUGAUCCUUAGAUGAAAGAUGGUUCUGCUAUCGCUUUUAGAUGGACCCGCGGCGUAUUAACUAGUUGGUGGGGUAACGGCCUACCAAGGUGAUGAUACGUAGCCGAACUGAGAGGUUGAUCGGCCACAUUGGGACUGAGACACGGCCCAAACUCCUACGGGAGGCAGCAGUAGGGAAUCUUCCACAAUGGACGCAAGUCUGAUGGAGCAACGCCGCGUGAGUGAAGAAGGUCUUCGGAUCGUAAAACUCUGUUGUUAGAGAAGAACACGAGUGAGAGUAACUGUUCAUUCGAUGACGGUAUCUAACCAGCAAGUCACGGCUAACUACGUGCCAGCAGCCGCGGUAAUACGUAGGUGGCAAGCGUUGUCCGGAUUUAUUGGGCGUAAAGGGAACGCAGGCGGUCUUUUAAGUCUGAUGUGAAAGCCUUCGGCUUAACCGGAGUAGUGCAUUGGAAACUGGAAGACUUGAGUGCAGAAGAGGAGAGUGGAACUCCAUGUGUAGCGGUGAAAUGCGUAGAUAUAUGGAAGAACACCAGUGGCGAAAGCGGCUCUCUGGUCUGUAACUGACGCUGAGGUUCGAAAGCGUGGGUAGCAAACAGGAUUAGAUACCCUGGUAGUCCACGCCGUAAACGAUGAAUGCUAGGUGUUGGAGGGUUUCCGCCCUUCAGUGCCGCAGCUAACGCAAUAAGCAUUCCGCCUGGGGAGUACGACCGCAAGGUUGAAACUCAAAGGAAUUGACGGGGGCCCGCACAAGCGGUGGAGCAUGUGGUUUAAUUCGAAGCAACGCGAAGAACCUUACCAGGUCUUGACAUCCUUUGACCACCUAAGAGAUUAGGCUUUCCCUUCGGGGACAAAGUGACAGGUGGUGCAUGGCUGUCGUC